rnacentral:rRNA from 1 species
UUCUGGCGACCAUAGUGCGGUAGUUCUACCUGAAUCCAUUCCGAAC